UACGGGGGGGCAAGCGUUGUUCGGAAUUACUGGGCGUAAAGGGCUCGUAGGCGGCCAACUAAGUCGGACGUGAAAUCCCUCGGCUUAACCGGGGAACUGCGUCCGAUACUGGAUGGCUUGAGUUUGGGAGAGGGAUGCGGAAUUCCAGGUGUAGCGGUGAAAUGCGUAGAUAUCUGGAGGAACACCGGUGGCGAAGGCGGCAUCCUGGACCAACACUGACGCUGAUGAGCGAAAGCCAGGGAGCAACGGG
rnacentral:rRNA from 1 species